AUGUCAGAAGGUUCCAAUAAGCUGUUGACAGUUGGGAGCUGAGAUGACCCAAGCUUUCUCCUGACAAAGGAGACUGCUCUAUGGUUGUAUUCUAACAAUAAUUUAACUUGGAACAGUUGCUGGGGCGAUAGAACUAGAAUUCUGUUUCCUGCUGAAUCAGAAAAAAAGUCAAUUGUUGUUGUUUUGUUGGCACUAGUAGGCUGGCUCUAUUCAGAUCUUCUGGCUUCCGAUGUUAUGAUUCCAAGGGUUGUAGAUAAAAUGAAGGGGGGGGGGAGAUGAGUUUCCCAGCUCUUUCCGCUCCUCCUUUGGUAUUACUGGUUUAUUUUGGGCUGUUCUGUAUUAACGUAGCUCUUCCCCAGGCCUAUAGGACCUCCCCAUUGCUGUUGUGAUUCAAAUUACAUGUCCCUGCCUUCUCUAAGUGGUAGGCUGUGUGAGUCCAUCAUUAUCUGGACUGGGGGGGGGGAGAACAUUCAUAGUCAGCCCCCCCCCAAAAAAAGCAUCAUGGGAGCUGUAGUUUACCCCACAGGUCAAAUUUCCAGCACCCUUAAGAAACCACAGUUCCCCAGAUUCUUUGGGCUUUUUUGGGGGGUGUCUUUAAAGUGAUGGAUCAUUUUCACUCCUCACACUAAGAAGAAGAAGAGUUUGGAUUUGAUAUCCCGCUUUAUCACUACCCGAAGGAGUCUCAAAGCGGCUAACAUUCUCCUUUCCCUUCCUCCCCCACAACAAACACUCUGUGAGGUGAGUGGGGCUGAGAGACUUCAGAGAAGUGUGACUAGCUCAAGGUCACCCAGCAGCUACAUGUGGAGGAGUGGAGACGCGAACCCGGUUCCCCAGAUUACGAGUCUAUCGCACUUAACUGCUACACCACACUGGCUCUCACUAGGGAUUUAUGCAUAUGCUUCAGUCCGAACCACUAUUCUUUCACACUUUCACCUGACAUUUCCUGUUAUUCUGCUACUGGUUUACUUUACACAAUUCUGUGUUCUGCUUUAUCAUCUACCGAUGCAGAAACAUUCAUUUAUCUUUCACGUAGCACAAAAUAGGCACACGUAUCCACCAUCAGAUAUUGUCAACAGGAAGGGAACAUUUGGGUGAAAUUCUCGUAGAGAUGUUCCUACAGUUUCCUUACCUUUGAAAUGGCUAAAUACAUUUGCAAGUGCUCUUUCAUUCUACAAAAUAUCUCACCAGUGGUUUGCACCAUGUAGCCUUCCCAGUUCGCCCAUGCUUGAAUUAACUCCCAGGGGAAGACAUCAUGAGGUAACUGCCACGUUGUCUUCUCACAUCAGAAAGCUUGGGUUGAACAGCAACAAUAAAGUAUGCUAAAAAAGAAAGAAAAGAAAACCAAACACCCACAGAAAUUCUGGAUAAAUGCUUAAGUGCCAUGAGAAUGGAAGAAAAAAAUAACACUCUGGAGAAAUUGGAGGACAUCUUUCAAAACCUCAUCAGGAGGGCUUUAAACUGACUAAUGUGGGGGAGGGAGAGAAACUAGGGUUCCAGGUGGAGAAAUCGAAAUUAGAAACAGAAUUGUUAGAACCAAAGACUAAGAUACUUUCAAGGAUGUAUAACUUGCUGUUGGAAUGGAAUACACAAGAUGAAAUGGUUAAAUCGGCUAUGAUAAGGUGGGCACAGGAUAUUGGGCAUAAUAUUAUGUUUGAGGACUGGGAAAGGCUGUGGAGUAAUGGAUUGAAAUUUACUGCAUGUAAUGCUUUGAAAGAAAAUGUAAUGAAAAUGAUUUAUAGAUGGUAUAUGACCCCAGUCAAACUCGCAAAAAUUUACCACCUGUCUGACAACAAGUGCUGGAAAUGUAAAGAGUGUGAAGGAACGUUCUUUCACCUCUGGUGGACCUGCCCUAAAGUGAAGGCGUUCUGGGAAAUGAUUUAUAAUGAAUUGAAAAAGGUAUUUAAAUAUACUUUCACUAAGAAACCAGAGGCUUUCCUUUUGGGUAUUGUCAGCCAAGGGGUGGCAAAGAAGGACCAAACAUUUUUAUGUAUGCAACAACAGCAGCAAGGAUACUACUCGCAAAACAUUGGAAAACUCAAGAUCUACCCACACUGGAAGAAUGGCAGAUGCAACUGAUAGACUAUAUGCAACUGGCUGAAAUGACUGGCAGAAUCCGUGACCUGGGAGAAGAGAGAAUCGAGGAGGAUUGGAAGAAAUUUAAGAACUACCUACAAAAACAUUGUGAUUUGACUGAAUGCUGAAUAAGAUGCUUGACUAAAUAACUGAGCACCACUUAACUUAGAAGUUUUUAAGAAAAUAAGAAAAAUUGUGAAAGUUUAACUCUUUAUGAGAACUAUAAGAUCAUGAAAUAUCGAAGAGAUAUAAGAAUUUAAAUAAGAUGAUAAAUUGCUGACAAAAUGUUAUAAUGAUGAAGGUGGGAGCGGGAGAUGUGAGGAAGUCCAAAGAAAAUGUGAAAUUAUGUUAAGACGAAUGUUAUAUUGUUUAUUACAUUUAUUCCUAUUGUAAAAUCCAAUAAAUUGCUUUAAAAAAAAAAAAAAAAUGUGGGGGAGGGAGACAGUGCUCCUGAAGGUAGGAGUCUAUCAAUUGAUGAAGAUGAUCAUCCAAAUGUCAUAGACCAAAUGGAGCAAACAGCAUGCAGACCUAGUGGUGGGAGGAAAAAAUCCUUAAAUAAGAGUCACGGGGGGAUGAUUAAUGGACUUCAAUGUCUGUACACUAAUGCGCAAAGCAUGAGAAAUAAACAAGAUGAGCUUGAGCUCUUGGUACAGCAAACUAAAUAUGACGUAAUAGGCAUCACUGAAACCUGGUGGGAUAAGUCCCACGAUUGGAAUGUAAUAAUGGAGGAAUACAAUCUAUUUCAGAGAAACAGACCAGACAAGAAAGGAGGAGGAGUGGCGUUAUAUGUCAGGGAUGUGUAUACCUGUGAAGAGAUCCAAGAUUUAGAACCUCAAAGCCAAAGUGAGAGCAUUUGGGUCAAAAUUAAGGGGAGAAGAAUAACAGUGACCUCAUUGUGGGAGUUUACUAUAGAUCCCCAAGCCAAACGGAGGACAUAGAUGAUGCCUUCCUGGAACAGAUGGCCAAGCAUGCAAAAGGAAGGGAGAUAGUAGUAAUGGGGGACUUCAAUUACCCAGAUAUUUGUUGGAUGUCAAACUCAGCCAAGAGCAUAAGGUCAAACAGAUCCCUCACUGGCCUUGCAGACAACUUCAUUGUCCAGAAGGUGGAAGAAGCAACAAGAGGAACAGCCAUUUUAGAUCAGGUCCUAACCAAUGUUGAUGACCUGGUUAGUGGGGUAGAAGUGGAAGGAUCAUUAGGCGCGAGUGAUCAUGCUCUUCUGAAGUUUACUAUACAGCGGAAAGGAGCAGCCAAGCAUACUAGGACUCAAUUUCUUGACUUUAAGAAAGCCGACUUCAUAAAACUUAGGGAAGUGCUGGGUGAGAUCCCAUGGACAGUAAUACUAAAAGGAAAAGGAGUUCAUGAUGGCUGGGAGUUCGUUAAGAGGGAGAUAGUAAAAGCACAACGUCAGGCAAUACCAAUGAGACGGAAACAUGGAAGGUGCCUAAAGAAGCCAAGGUGGCUAUCUAAAGAACUUUCAACUGAGUUAAGAUUAAAAAAGGAUGUGUACACAAAAUGGAAAAGGGGGGAAACCACUAAAGAGGAAUUCAAACAAAUAGCCAGCACGUGUAGACACAAAGUCAGAAAAGCUAAAGCACAGAAUGAACUCAGGCUUGCUAGAGAGGUUAAAAGCAACAAAAAAGGCUUUUAUGGGUAUGUUCGUAGCAAAAGGAAGAACAAAGAAACAGUGGGGUCACUCAGAGGAGAAGAUGGUGAAAUGCAAACAGGGGACACAGAAAGGGCUGAACUCCUCAAUGCCUUCUUUGCCUCAGUCUUCUCCGAUAAAGAAAACAAUGCCCGACCUGAAGAAUUUGGAGCAAAUGAUUCAGCAGAGGAAACACAGCCCAGAAUAAUUAAGGAGAUAGUACAAGAAUACUUGACUAGUCUAGAUGUAUUCAAGUCUCCAGGGCCAGAUGAACUUUAUCCAAGAGUAUUAAAAGAACUGGCAGAUGUGAUCUCAGAACCACUGGCAGUCCUCUUUGAGAAUUCCUGGAGAACAGGCGAAGUCCCGGCAGACUGGAGGAGGGCAAAUGUUGUCCCUAUUUUCAAAAAGGGGAAAAGAGAGGACCCAAAUAAUUACCGCCCAGUCAGUCUGACAUCAAUACCAGGGAAGAUUCUGGGGCAGAUCUUCUGGGAGAUGAUCUAUAACGAAAUGAAAAAGGUAUUUAAAUAUACCUUUCUGAAGAAACCAGAGGCCUUUCUCCUGGGCAUAGUCGGCCAAUUGGUGUUAAAGAAGGAUAGAACUUUAUUUAUGUAUGCCACAACAGCAGCAAGAAUACUUAUUGCAAAGUAUUGGAAGACACAAGACCUACCCACUCUGGAAGAAUGGCAGAUGAAGGUGAUGGACUACAUGGAAUUGGCGGGAAUGACUGGCAGAAUCCGAGACCAGGGAGAAGAGUCGGUGGAAGAAGAUUGGAAGAAAUUUAAAGACUAUUUACAGAAAUAUUGCAAAAUUAAUGAAUGUUAGAAUGAUGUUAGAAUGAAGUUAGGUGGUUUAAGCAGUAAUGCUAUAAAGGUGUAUGAAAAAAUGGAUUGAUAACAGGUGAAAAUUCAAAGCUAUAGUAUAUUAAGUUAAAGGAUUAAGAGAAAAUAAAGAGGGAAAGAAAUUGCUGAAUUAACUAACUGAACUGGAAUACAAAAAAGGGAGGUAUGAGGAGGUCAGGGAAACAAGGAUAUGAAUGUAAGGUAUGGAAAGAUGGAUGUAUUUUUUUAAAGUGUUUUUCAUUCUUUUAUUCUGUAUUUUGUAUUUUUCCUGUAUUUUUACUUCUGUUUAUUGUUUUUGUUUUAUUUGUUUUUUUUCUCCUUUUCUUUAUUUAUGUAAUUCCUCUUUUUGAAAUUUUAAUAAAUAUCAUUUUUUUUAAAAAAAAAAAAAAGAUUCUGGAGCAGAUCAUUAAGCAAACAGUCUGUGAGCACCUAGAAAGGAAUGCUGUGAUCACCAAUAGUCAGCAUGAAUUUCUGAAAAAUAAGUCAUGUCAGACUAACCUGAUCUCGUUUUUUGACAGAAUUACAAGCCUGGUAGAUGAAGGGAAUGCAGUGGAUGUAGCCUACCUUGAUUUCAGCAAGGCAGUUGACAAGGUGCCCGAUGAUAUUCUUGUAAAGAAGCUGGUAAAAUGCGGUCUUGACUAUGCUACCACUCAGUGGAUUUGUAACUGGCUGACGGACCGAACCCAAAGGGUGCUCAUCAAUGGUUCCUCUUCAUCCUGGAGAAGAGUGACUAGUGGGGUGCCACAGGGUUCUGUCUUGGGCCCAGUCUUAUUCAACAUCUUUAUCAAUGACUUGGAUGAUGGACUCAAGGGCAUCCUGAUCCAAUUUGCAGAUGACACCAAACUGGGAGGGGUGGCUAACACCCCAGAGGACAGGAUCACACUUCAAAACGACCUUGACAGAUUAGAGAACUGGGCCAAAACAAACAAGAUGAAUUUUAACAGGGAGAAAUGUAAAGUAUUGCACUUGGGCAAAAAAAUGAGAGGCACAAAUACAAGAUGGGUGACACCUGGCUUGAGAGCAGUACAUGUGAAAAGGAUCUAGGAGUCUUGGUUGACCACAAACUUGACAUGAGCCAACAGUGUGACGCGGCAGCUAAAAAGCCAAUGCAAUUCUGGGCUGCAUCAAUAGGACUAUAGCAUCUAGAUCAAGGGAAGUAAUAGUGCCACUGUAUUCUGCUCUGGUCAGACCUCACCUGGAGUACUGUGUCCAGUUCUGGGCACCACAGUUCAAGAAAGACACUGACAAACUGGAACGUGUCCAGAAGAGGGCAACCAAAAUGGUCAAAGGCCUGGAAACGAUGCCUUAUGAGGAACGGCUAAGGGAGCUGGGCAUGUUUAGCCUGGAGAAGAGGAGGUUAAGGGGUGAUAUGAUAGCCAUGUUCAAAUAUAUAAAAGGAUGUCACAUAGAGAAGGGAGAAAGGUUGUUUUCUGCUGCUCCAGAGAAGCGGACACGGAGCAAUGGAUCCAAACUACAAGAAAGAAGAUUCCACCUAAACAUUAGGAAGAACUUCCUGACAGUAAGAGCUGUUUGACAGUGGAAUUUGCUGCCAAGGAGUGUGGUGGAGUCUCCUUCUUUGGAGGUCUUUAAGCAGAGGCUUGACAACCAUAUGUCAGGAGUGCUCUGAUGGUGUUUCCUGCUUGGCAGGGGGUUGGACUCGAUGGCCCUUGGGGUCUCUUCCAACUCUAUGAUUCUAUGACUUAGAAAAGUCAGGUGUAUUUGUGCCAAUAUGGCUUCCAUUUAUUGAAUAAGCAAAUACUGAUACUUCUCUGCCCAGAUCCCCUUCUUCUCAAUCAAAAUGCAGGAAUAAUGCCUUGGAAGAGGCAAUCCUAUCAAUACAGAUUUUCAAUUAGUAUUUCAAAGAAUUCCAUCCUAGCAUAAGAACUGAAGUAUUCUCAAAGGAGCUCCAUAGUUUUAAAUGUGAAAUGUUCAAUGGUCCAUAAGAUAUAAUAUUUGAAUACAGCACUUUCAGGCGUGUUCCUGAGAUUAUACUGCAAUUCUAACGACGACACUGGAAGAUCAGUCAUUAUUAUCCCCAUGAAGGUGUUAAGGCAGGGGUCAGGGUGGGGAGGCUGAGUGAACCACCUAGUGUUAUUCAGGUAUAGCUCGAUGAGAUCUGAAUGGGUGCCUUCAUUAUCCAUCACUCAGUCUUUUUGCCACUAUGCUAUUCUUGCCUUCUCACACCAGUAAUUAAUCCACAUUAAAUGAUUGUGAGAGUACGAUUCUAAACCAGUCUCCUUUGUACACAAUGAUUAUACAUCAUCUUGGUUCUCAACUGUCAACAGUUUCUUCUAGAAUCUUCCAACAUCUUUCCCCAAUUGGCUCCCGCAGCACUGCUAAGAGUUCUAUUUGCCUUAUUUCAAAAGAAUUUAGGGUGUGGCUCAAUUAUUCUUCAACUCGCUGGUAAUAGAAAACGACAGUAAGUUUGAAUGUUUUUUGCCUGCUCACUCUCAAAUAUUUCUAUCAAAACUCCCCUGCAGAGGUUGUUGUGACUACCACCAGACAGAUUUCAACUCUACCCAUUUCUGUGGGUCUUUAUAUUUUGAAGCCUGUCCCAAGAGGUCUGGAUGUAGGAUAUGACCAGACUGUGGUAUGUCAGGGACUGGGCAGAGGAGGAAUGGUGGAGACUGCCUCCUCGUCCUGACCCUUUCAGGGAGGAGGAACAGGAAGACAGUAUAGAUUUACAACAGGGGUUUGAGGGAGGUCGCAGCUCAGAGGCAGAUGAGGGAGAAAGCUGUGAAAUCAUAGGAGAGCUGGAACAACACCCAACUGGCAUGUUGUCAUUAGAAAGCAUUCCAUACCCUCCAUCUCCCGGAACCUGGCGAGCCUUAAAAGUAGGAGAGCAAAGAGUUCAAAGACAGAGAUCAUGUAGCAGCACCUGUAGAAGUGACGAAUGAGGAAGUGGGAGAGAUGGGGUCAAUGCCAUUAUCCAAGAUGCUGGGUUUUACAGCUUUUCUCUGUAAAGAUUGAAAUAAAAAAGGAUGGUAAGAAACUUUUCCUUGUCUUUAUGCUUUCCUGGGCCACCAGCUGGGAGCUGCGGACAGCAUCCUGACAGUAUAGCUUCAUUAUACAUGGGGGAGAGGCUUUGGGUGGAAUCUAUUUAAACCUACCCUGCCCACUUUCUGAACACUUUGCAUUCUGGAGCAUUUCUUGGUGUUUCCUGUUUUUGUCCCCCCCCCCCCCCAGAAGACAGAGGAGUGUGUCUGCCAUGGAUUGGGCAUGGUUUCUAUGUCCCCCCAUUUUCAUUUCUGCUUGGUAUUUUGGACUUGCCAUUUGUUAAUUUGGGGUUUUCUACGAUAUUUAAGGUUUCUAGGAUGGCAUACCCUCCAACUUCUUGGGUCCCAAAAUAGAUUCCAGCUGUUAAGGAGGGUGCCAUCCCAUUUGGUGAGAUGUUCAACUCUUUGAGAAUGCAUAUCCAAGAUAAGAAGAAAAUGAUGUAGAGGGGAGAAUGCAUAAAGGCCUUUCUUCACCCAGGCCUUUGGCUAAUUAAACAAUCUACGGACGUAAUCAAGAACACUGGCAAUAGCAGCACAUGAACUCUCUACAGCUUCGGGCUUUGUUGAAAUGUUCAAAUAAUCAGUGUUCAAGGACCAAAGCAAUUUCUUCCCACGAUAUUUAAACUAACAAAAGAUGUGGUGAUAGCCACUGGGGUAGUGGCAAAUUAGUGUGGGAGACCCCCAUAACCACCCUCCUAGGCAUGUCCAAAAAUGUAGGCUUCUCCACUUCCCUUCCACUAUACCAUUGAGAGAGGGGGGUCUGGGGAUUAGGAAGCUCGUGGAGGAGACCAGGUCUAUCAGUGACUGCUAGCCUUAAUGCAUAAAUGGAAAAAAACUUUAGAGCAGGGAAAUUUUGCAAGACACAAACAAAAACAGAGCCGGUCUUACACUUCCAUGCCUUGAUUGUAACCUUUGUGCAGAUAUCUCGCAGGCUGCUGCUGGAAUUGCAAUGCUGUACUUCUUAAGUAAGUUGAAAUAGUUACUUAUGUUCUGUCAACAGCACUCUCUUAUUCUCUAACAGGUCAGCCAUUUCCCCCGACUCUCAGAAAGAAACCAUGAAGAAAACGCAGGUGGCAUCCAAAGUGUCAAGAAAGCCCAAAACACCCAGAGCACACAAAGCACACAAAACACCCAAAGCACCCAAUGAACCCAGUGAACCCAAUGAAUCCAAAGAACCCAGUGAACUCAGUGAACUCAGUGCACCCAUUGCACCCCUUGCACCAACCAGUCGUGAGGUGAGCUUGAAGAAUCUGUGGAAUCCACUGAGUUUAUAAAAACUGAAAACCCAUGUUGUUAUGUAAUUGUUUCCCAAGGUUCAGACAGGGAUGUAAACCAAUUGUACGAUAUAGCAUACAGUACUUUGGGUGGCAUUCAGACUUCCGGAGCAAUCCAAAACCAAGCAGAGUAGCAGUAGGGCAAGAUGAAGCCGCCUAGUUCCUCCAUCAAUGCUGGCUGGAUCAGAAGGCUGGGGGAAGGAAAAAGCCUGCUCUGCGUUACCCCACCCUCAGGGCCGGAUUUAGAUUCAGUGAGACCCUAAGCUACUGAAGGUAAUGGGGCCCUUUAUAUGUCCAGCUGUCCUUUGUCAACAACAAACUGCUGCUGUUUUUUGUGUUGAAUAUAUGCUAUAUGGUAAUUUAUGGACCUAAUAUGUAUCUAAAGACAUUUGCACAUAACAGAAUAUGUAUUUUAUCCAAGUAAUUGUUGAACUGAAAUACAAUUAAGCAGAAAUAUAAUUAUAAUAUUUAUAUAUAGUAUUAUAGUAGUAAGUGAGGGUAAUAGGGAACUGUACUAGUAAAUAAUAAUAUAGGCCUACUAAAUAAUAAAGAUGAAUAUUUUUUCUAAAGUAAUUUUAUAAUGGGAUCAAAAUAAAUAAAUUAUGUAUUACAUUGAAUCAAUCAGUAGGCAUAAGACUCAUACCCUUAGUCUAUGCUGCCUGAUCAUCAGUCUACAAGCACUUUUUAAUAUUAGAUAACAGGUACAACAGCUUGAUCUACAUUCAACUGUGCUGCACUGCAGUCUGCAGCUGCAUACUACCUGUUGCCAUGCGACCAGACCCUGCAGAAUGUAGGCACCCUAUAUAUAGACAUGAGCAAACUGGUGAUAUUUUAGGGAGCAGGCUAGCAGGCGGGGCUCAUUACUUACAUCAUAGGAGCUUACACAACACAAAACACUGUUGCUGUAUGUAGGUUUUGUUUUAUUUGUUUUCCCCCGCCCCCUUAUAUUUUGGAAAUGUACAUCCAGUUGUUUUUCCCUUUACAUUUUUUUGGGGGGGCCCAAGAGAGUGGGGCCCUAAGCUAUAGCUUGUUUAGCUUAUACAUAAAUCUGGCACUGCCCACCCUGGAGAUAACUUGGCAUGUGGGCAUAGAUGCCAUCAAGCGACAGCAGUAGGGCCAGCAUGGAUUUCAGUGGAUGCUGAACCAUCUCAUCCCCCUUCUCACCUACACUCAGCAAGGAUCCCACCAAUUUUGCUUCCACCUGGCCACAGUGAAUGGAACGGAAAGCUGUGCAGCAGCAGGGCAAGGCUUGCAGAGAGUCAUUCUGGAGUAUGGGGGUGGAGGGAGAUAUCAGCUCCAUCUGUUUCUCCACCAUGGAGGACCUUGCAAGGUUGGGUUGUAGCCUUCCUCAUGCUUAGAGUAAUCCGAUGGAUAGACUGCAAGUAUAACCAAACUUGGAUUCAGUUUACUAUAUUUAAAAGAUCCUUGAGAGAUAAAGGUGGUCUAUAAAUGUAAUAAACACAAAUAAAUAAAAUAAAAUAAAAUAAAAUAAAAUAAUAAAAUAAAAUAGUAGAUAAUAACCAUCAUGACUAGCAGGAGAUGGUGUGGCAAUGAUGAUCAUGUUCAGCUGGAGUAGCCAAAGUAUACAAAUGUUGCCAUUAUAAAAUAAUGUCUUAAUGUUUCACUCUAUCUUUCAGUCUACAAAUGUUUUAGUGAUAACUGUAGUUAAUCAACGGUUACUUAAUAUAAGUAUUCUGCCCUGUACAUUCUCAUCACGUAUCUUCUUCUUCUUCUUCUUCUUCUUCUUCUUCUUCUUCUUCUUCUUCUUCUUCUUCUUCCUGCAGGAUGUCCCAUUGAGGCUUAUUUGGAUUUCAAUGGCUGCCUGCUUAAUUAGUGUACAAUAUGGAUACAAUAUGUGGUUACUCUACACCCCUUUUGUGGUAAGAUAGCCCUGUGUUUCAUGUGGCUUCUUAAAGCAGGGGUUAUUGUUGGCCUGGGAGACCUUUUCUCUGUUGAGCAUCACAUUUCUUCUGGGAUACAUUGACAGGGAACAUAGGCUGGCACAGGUGUAGCCAGAUCCCAAAGUAGGUAGGACACUGCUGUAAAUCAAUCUCUCUCUCUCUCUCUCUCUCUCUCUCUCUCUCUCUCUCACACACACACACACACACACAGACAGAGAGAGAGAGAGAGACUCAUACACGCUUCCUUCUUAGGUUUUCCAAAAAGAAAAGAGAGGGUAUAGUCAUAGUCAAUUUCCCAAUGCAUCCUGUUUUAAAAGCCAGUAUAUGACAAGCUACUGCUCAGUAAAUAAAAGUAGAAUAUAGAAGGCAAAAAGGAGAGUGCUCCUUGCUCUUUGAGUCUAGAUAUUUUAAAAAGGGACAUAUUUUCCUAUUUUCACUUGUGAAAGUGUGGACAAAACUUUUGUGAUAUCUCCUAGCAGGGGUGUCAACUUGAAUACAAUAUGGUGUGGCAGGUAAGUCCCAUCCCACAUAAUGGAUCACAAGAUGCAGUGCACACACACUGUUUGAAUGGCAAUGCCUAUUAACUUGGGGAGGGGGUUCUGACCCCCUUAAAUAGUCUAUGGGAGAAGGGAAAGGGACCUCAGCCCCGAGGAGUUGGCCCCUAUGCCUUCUAGCUCUCAAUGUGAGUGGGAGAGACAUGCACACACUUUCUCUGGGCAUCCCAGAAUUGCCUGCAGAUCAUUGGCCAUCAUUCAGUUGGUCCCAGGCUCUCACAUUCUGCUGCCACAUGAUCUCAUGCCACAUGAGCAGUCCUAAUCUCAAGCAUUUAUUGUGCUUCUCCCUCAGCUCCUACAUGACUUGUUCAACAUAACAACCUUUGAAGAGAUGGAAGAUCCAGGUUCUCAGAUGUAUAUUGUGGCUAUCACCAUUGCUUUAUUUCCACUUGGAGCCAUUUUUGGGACCAUUCCUAUUGGUUUUCUGGCCAAUAGAUUUGGCAGGUAUCGAGAUGAAUUUGUGACUGCUGAACGACAAGGAGAGGGAGUGGCAGGGAGAGACACAGUGAGAUCCAUUUAGGUCCAUGGAAUCAUACCUGAAAACCUUUUGUCAGCUGAUAAAGCUUUGUUUGAAGGUAGUCAGAACAUGCCUACCAAUUGCAAGAUAAUCCCACCAAUGCGGUUUUGAUCAAUUUGGUUCUUAAGACAUCAUCUAACAUACACCAGCAGAUUUUCUAAUAUAGAGCUGAGAAAGAACCCAGAAGUUAGUGGUAGAACACAUGUUUACAUUCAGAAGAUCCCAUUUUCUCUCAUCAUCAUCCCUCAAUUAAGAGAUUUUAUCUAGCACAGCAGAAGGUUUCUAGCUCUGGUGGAAAUGUAUGAGCAAUGCCUCCUGAUAUUUAUUAAGAUAAAGAAAGUGUGUGAGUAAUUUUACAGUGCUUGGGUAUAGAAGUUUCAGGGCCAUCCAUGGGUCCUUGUUUCCUCCUAUUACUAGCAAACCCAGAACAAAUUAUCUAUAAAAGGAUUAGGAGAUUCCCCUAAUCCUAUAGCUCCUCUCCCCCCUUUGCUGCUUUCAUGGUAUCAUAUAUUGGCAUCUUCCCACCUCACCACCCCCUUCCACUGUCUUCUCAGGAGAGGAGCUAUGAAGAUAACGACCUUUUUGAGUCUGAUCCCUCCUGUCCUAUUGGCUGUUGGUGAUACCGUAGAUAUCCAUGAAUUCACAAUUGCUGUACGUUUCUAUACUGGGAUAUGCACAGGUGAGUCAAGGUCCCAGGUUUAGUAGUUUGGCGUAGAAUUCAUGUUGUUAGUUUGAGCCGAGCAGAGACACUGAGCAAUAGUUCGUUUCCACAACAGAGGGAGGGUGGGCUGCCAAAGAAUCAAGUAAAGCAGUAUCAGUGUGUCUCAUUUUCACAAACAUCUCCCUAACUGACUUUGGAAACCAGUAUUGUGGCUCAGAUAGGCCACCAAGGAUGGAGAAACUGGUAGAGGUGGCAUUGAAACUCUAUAGGACUGUGAGUUGGAAAAUGGAUUUUUGUAAAAUACCAAAAGAGGAAUCGCUGUGCAGAAUUAUUAUUAUUUAAAUAUAAGUAUGUGAUGUCCCAAGGCCUUGGGUUAAUUGGUAUACUAAUUAUUGUACCAACAAACAUACCACCAUGGAGGUUGUUUGACCGUAGUUUCCAUCCAUCGCAGCCAAUAGCUAUUCCAUGGCAACUAGACAGCGAAUUGUACAUGAACUGUAGUCCACUACUAUCAGUUUGGAUUGUCCUGCUACCUUAAUAGUGGCCAACACUAUUAGUUUGAAUUAAACGAUUUAAUGCCAUUUCUCAGAGAUAUACAAGCUCUGGGCAAGUUCCAACAAAAGAAUAUUCCCAAGUUGAGAGGCAGCUACUGAGAACACCAGUCCGUACGCCCUUGUGGGGGCCGGUUUGGUUCAGAGCUACACGUGGAUGGCGUUGCCAUAUCUAUGGUGUGAGAUGUGAAAUGUCGGUGACAUUUUGCAGAAUUCUACAAAAGAACAGCUUGGCAACAUGAGAUAUGACUUGCACGGCCUACUGGAGCCUCAGGGUUAUUCAUGCAUUUUGCACAUAUCACAUGUUCAUUGAGAUUUGUCUGCUUAUUUAUCAACUAACCAGGACUAAUCUCCAUUGUUGUUCCUCUGUAUCUUGGAGAGAUCGCCCCUGGAAGCGUGAGGGGAGCUAUCGUCAUGAUGCCCCAGCUAUUUUAUGCUUUGGGCAUCCUUGCGGGUCAGCUAAUUGUUUUUGAAGAAUUAUUUAAGAUGCGAGAAGGUAAUUAAGAUAAAUUAAUCCUUUGGCUUAUAUGAGAUCAGACACAUGGCCACAGUUUCUUCACAUUGUUGUCACUCUAUCUUCUUGCACAGGUUACGUGAUUGUGAUGGGCAUUUCUGGGGUCAUGCCAAUUUUUCAGAUCAUACUACUACCCUUCUUUCCUGAAAGUCCGAGGUAUCUGUUCAUUCAGAGGAAGAAUGCAGAGAGUGCAAGGGAAGGUACAAUACCCUGAAUUGUAUUGAGAUUUCUGGGUGUGAGCAUCAUACAUAGCCAUGAGAACCCAUCAGGCUGAAGAGUUGUUUUUUUCCAAGUUGAUGGAGUUGCAAACAGAUUUUUUUCUGGAAGCAGUUGACAUGGAAAUGUAUGCUAACCUUCUGCUAGAUAUCCAGAAGAGACCUUUAAGUUGUGGGAAGGGUCACAUAAAUUGUGGAAAUUAUCAGUUAAAUAAAUGCCUGGAAGUGGAAUAAAGUACUGUCUGAAUGCAGCCAAAUGUGCAAAAUGAUUGCUGACUCCUCCCCACUACUGCCUACUGGGUUCCCCCACUCUCCAAGUUUUAGUUUCAUUUGUAUGUGACUUCCAUUUUCUGAAAAAGCUCGGUUUUUUUGUGUGUUUUUUUGCUUUGAAUAGCUUCCUUAACUCCGUUCAUUGACCACAGUGGCAUCCCCUUGGCCCUGUUAGAUAUUAUUACCAAUCAGAGUUGUAUAUUCUAGCUGAACAUUUAUGCUGACCGUUUUAAAUAACUUCCGGAUAUUCUAAAUUGAUUUGACCCUCUGGACUUCCCCUUUCCCGCUUCCUUCUUAACAAUAUCCUCAUUCUUCUGAGACUCUUAUUCUACUGCAUUCAAAUCCUUUCUGCCUCUGUUCCCACACAGUACUGAAGGUGCUGAGAGGCAAGGAUGAUGUGGAGAAUGAAAUAGACGAACUCCAUCAGGAGGACCUCUUUGAGAAAGCAGAAAAGAACAUGACUGCUGUUAAACUGCUAUCAUCCCCAAACCUGAGAUUUCAGGUCAUCGCCACAGUUCUCUUGACGAGUGGUGCACAGCUUGAUGGCAUUGGUGCAGUAAGUAAGGCAAUGCCCCCCCCCCAAAAAAAAAUGUUUGGAGGUGGAGCCAGAUAAAUGAGGGCUCAUAAUGUUUAAUGGCUGUGGCACCAAUUAUCACUGCUUGUCUCUAGGCACAGCAGAUUAUUUCUACUCAGUGAACUACUCUGUGGGUUUUGUUGGGACUUCAAUGUCCAUCAGUCAUAGCUAGGAGCUGCUGUCCAAUAGCACCUGGAGAACCACAAGUUCUCCACCCAUGCACAAGUUAUAGUCAGGCUCUAGGAGAAAUAUGGUAUUGCCUGGGAGUAAAGGUUUGACUGCUACAGAGCACUAAGAUCAGUUUGGUUUAAACUUGAAUCAUGCAGUGGAAAAGAUUAUCACUGGGCUUUCUGAAAUUUUGAGUGUACUACAUUAUUUGUGUGCCAAGACUCAAUGACCUUGCAGUUCCUUAAGGGUGAUUAAUCAGACAAGACAACAGCAUAUGGUUUUAUGGGAUCAAAUAGGCCACAACUUUUACUGGUUACAGAUGUGGUUUGACAUAGGCAUUGGGUGAAACCAAACUAUAUCAUAUUAUAUCAUGCCAGCCCAACUGCUGGGAGUGCAUCUAAGGAGAAACCACCAUUAGGGGAAGACCUAUGACCUACAUCAAACAGGGGUAUCCCCCCCCGAGUUUGGUAUCCCCCCCCCCAAGUGUGGAGGAGUAGGAGUGGUAUGGCCCUACACCUCAUCUGGGCUUCAGACAGAAGCCACUCCACCUUGGCUUACCCAGAGUUCUCCUUAGCAUUUACAGUUGGGGCUGAGACAAGCUUCAACCCUUACAAGCAUCAACCAUUCACUGUAAGCAGUAACUGAGCUCUAAGUAGACCAAGAGCUUUAUAUGCCAACUUUCUAUGAUUGGGAUGUUGGAAAACUUGCCCCCUCGGGAGAGGCUGGCCCCUCUCCCAGGCUCCCGGGGUUUGUUUGCCGGUGAUCUACCCUGACUGACAUCCCCGCAGUCCAGGGAGAUCUUGAUAGGCAACAUCUCCCUGCGUAGAAGAUGCACACCCCCUUCUUCCUUGCAUACCAGCAGGAGAAAGAAGAUAGUCAGAAAGUCUAUUACAUCUCGUUUAUUUCUGACUGUACAAAAGAACAAAAAAACAUGUCCGUUCUCUCAGAAUCCACCAAGCAACAGACUGAGACUUCCUUUACACAAGCAACAGGAAGGUCUCAUAUUACACUGAGAACAAAUCCCUGUGAAUCCUGGGAACUGCCGUGUACAUCCUGUCCCACGGUCAGGCACAUCAUGUGAUGUAAACAUCGAGCUGCUUGUUUGCAGUUGCGUAGUACUCAUAUUCCAACAUGGGAAUCAUGCAAAUUCAGUUCAGUCUGUUUGAUUGAAGGAAACUCAACAUGAUGAUGUCAUGUAACAUAUUUCUCUUAAUUAACAUUCCUUGGUGAGGGUAGUUCAGGGGGAACAUUCCAAGAACAUCCCAUUAAGCCCUUUUUGCAAAGGAAGAAAACCAAGAGGCUCUACUGCUAGCAGGUGCUGUUUAAUUUCCCAACUAUUACAAUUUCUAUUUUUGUAGGGGGUUUUUAAAAUUAUUUUUUCACUCCUCUAACAUGUAAACAAACUGGCAGUAGACACAAAUUCAUCCCAUGACUUGUGAAUUGUCCUUCAAACUCUGAGGAAGAUUCUGGAAGUAGAGGUGGAAGGCAAGCUGAUGUGUGCUCCAUAUCUUACAUAUCCCUUCCUUGUGACUCAAUAAUAUUAAAUCUGGUGUAGGCAAAGAAAAUGGUGGCUGUGAGUCACAGGAGUUGUUAAAGAAUCCUGGCAAUCUGGGAGACAAUGCUAAAGUAAACACAUUCACUGUGUGUGUUCCACAUUCACUGAGGAAGUGAACAUCUAGAAUAAGGGCAGCUGAAACACAAGGUUAAAUGCAGGUCAUAAGAGCCCAAGAAGCAGACCAGUGGAAUAAUAGAAUAAUAAGAUCAAAUAAUUGUAGAGUUGGGGAUGAACCCGAAGGCAUCCGGUCCAGUCCCCUGCAAUGCAGGAAUCUCAACUAAAGCAUCCAUGGCUGAUGGCCAUCCAACCUCUGCUUAAAAACAACCAAGGAAGGAAAGCCCACAAGCUUCCAAAGGGAGACCAUUCCAUUGUUGAACAGCUGGCGUAGUCACAUAAGGUUUUGAGGUUGAACGGGCAAAGAUUGCACAAAUGUACUGUAGCUUUCUCUGGCUGGUGAGGAAGUGGGAACUGAGACAAGUCCUAUUUGGAACCCUAAUAGCAUUGUGAAAGCCAAUCAGGAGAUCUAUGAAUGUGGCAGCCAGACUGGUGACUGGGAGUGGCCCCCGAGACCAUAUUACACCCGUCCUUAAAGACCUACAUUGGCUCCCAGUACAUUUCCAAGCACAAUUCAAAGUGUUGGUGCUGACUUUUAAAGCCCUAAACAGCCUUGACCCAGUAUACCUGAAGGAGUGUCUCCACCCCCAUCGUUCAGCCUGAACACUGAGGUGCAGAGCCAAGUGACUUCUGGCGGUUCCCUCCCUACAAGAAGUGAGGUUACAGGGAACCAGGAAGAAGGCCUUCUCAGUAGUGGUAUCCACCCUGUGGAAUGCCCUCCCAUCAGAUGUCAAGGAAAUAAACAACUAUACAACUUUUAGAAGACAUCUGGAUGCAGUCCCCUUUAGGGAAGUUUUUAAUGUUUGAUAUUUUAUUCUGUUUUUAAUCUGUUAGGAGCAGCCCAGAGUGACUGGGGAAACCCAGCCAGAUGGGUGGGGUAUAAAUAAUAAGUUGUAGUAGUUGUAGUAGUUGUUGUUGUAGUAGUAGUAUUUGUUGUUGUUGUCAGAAAGUUCUUCCUGAUAUUUAGUUGGAAUCUUCUUUCUUCUAACUUGAAGCCAUUGGUUUGAGUCCUAUCCCCCAGAGCAGGAGAAAAGAAGCUUGUUCCCCCUUCCAUGUGACAGCCUUUGAGAUAAUUGAAGAUGGCUGUCAUAUCUUCUCUCAGUCUCAUCUUAUUCUGCCUAAACAUAUCCAACUCCUUCAACCAGUCAUCAUAAGGCUUGCUUUACAGACCCUUGAUCGUCUUAGUCGCCCUCCUCUCCACACGUUCCAGCUUGUAAUAUCCUUAUUAAGUUGUGAUUCCCAGACAAAUUACUCCAGAGACUCAGGUAGAUUGGUAAAGAGAAAGCUUUUUAUAUGCGUUGUAUAUGCAUUAUAAGCAAUGACAAACCUAGACAGCAUCUUAAAAAGCAGAGACAUCACCUUGCCAACAAAGGUCUGUAUAGUUAAAGCUAUGGUUUUCCCAGUAGUGGUGUAAGGAAGUGAGAGCUGGACCAUAAAGAAGGCUGGUCGCCGAAGAAUGGAUGCUUUUGAAUUAUGGUGCUGGAGGAGACUCUUGAGAGUCCCAUGGACUGCAAGAAGAUCAAACCUAUCCAUUCUGAAGGAAAUCAGUCCUGAGUGCUCACUGGAAGCUGAGGCUCCAAUACUUUGGCCACCUCAUGAGAAGAGAAGACUCCCUGGAAAAGACCCUGAUAUUGGGAAAGAUGGAGGGCACAAGGAGAAGGGGACGACAGAGGACAAGAUGGUUGGACAGUGUUCUCGAAGCUACCAGCAUGAGUUUGACCAAACUGUGGGAGUCAGUGGAAGACAGGAGUGCCUGGCGUGCUCUGGUCCAUGAGGUCACGAAGAGUCAGACACGACUAAAUGACUAAACAACAAAGUCCAGCAUCUUGUUCCCCACAUUGGCCAACCAGAUGCCUAAGGAAACCCUAAACAGGAUUCUUCGGUUCCUCAAUAUCUUGAGUCACCACCAGUUACUCCUUCGUUUCAUAUUAGACUAUUAUUUAGAUAUAAUCUGGAUGUCUGACAGUUGACAGUUAAGUCCAGUCGCAAACGACUAUAGGGUUGUGGUGCUCAUCUCGCUUUACUGGCCAAGGGAGCCGGCGUUUGUCCGCGUACAGCUGUCAGGUCAUGUGAGCAGCAUGACUAAGCCACUUAUGGUGAAACCAGAGCAGCGCUUAGAAACAUUGUUUACCUGCCCACCGGAGCGGUACCUAUUUAUCUACUUGCACUUUGACAUGCUUUCGAACUGCUAGGUUGGCAGGAGCUGGGACUGAACAAUGGGAGCUCACCCCGUUGCGGGGAUUCGAGCCACCAACCUUCUGAUUGGCAAGCCCUAGGCUCUGUGGUUUAGACCACAGCACCACCCGCGUCCCUUACCAUAUACAUACCACUGGUAUAUUUCUUUGGUUUUAACUUGGUUGUAUUAUGGAUUUUAAUAUGGUGGUAAGCCGUUCAAAGGCCCAAGUUAAUGGUUGGUAUGCUGAUAAUUUAAUAAUAUGCUGGAUCAGGCUGGUGGCCUACCAGAGAGCCAGUGUGGUGUAGUGGUUAAGAGCGAUAGACUCAUAAUCUGGUGAACUGGGUUCGUGUUUCUGCUCCUCCACAUGCAGCUGCUGGGUGACCUUGGCCUAGUCACACUUCUUGAAGUCUCUCAGCCCCACUCACCUCACAGAGUGUUUGUUGUGGGGGAGGAAGGGAAAGGAAAGGAAAGGAGUAGGGAAAGGUUGACCAAGACUAUUUUUUUUUAAAUGAUAUUUAUUAAGAAUUUUAGAAUUACAGAAAGAAGAACAAAAAAGAAGAAGAGAGAGAAAAAAACAAAAGAAAAACAAACCACAAUCGAACAAUACAAAUUAAUCAAAAUCAAAAAAAUAACACGACACAAUCAAAAGACAAAAAUAUACCACAAACAUUUAAAAACAAAUCCAAUAUUCUCAAAUCCUUAACUGUCAUUGCCUUCUUUCUUUGACCUCCUCACUCCUCCCUUUUUUUGUAUCCUAGUUGUUAAUUGUCACAGCAAAUCCUUUCCAUAUUUCAUAAUAUUCUGUCAUUACAUUACCUUAAUCUAUUUUAAUCUUAUCUUACUAUAAAAGACCUUAAAACUUAAAACUUAAAACUUAUUUAUACCAAUUUCUCCUAACCAUAAUAUUCUUACAUAAUUCUUUAAACAUUUUUGCUAAAGCCAAAUAAUUUCAUUCCAACAUUUUUCUAACAUUCAUCAAUUUUAUAAAACAAUCCUAAUAAAAUUUUUUUUUUCCUUCCAAUCUUCACCCAGUGUCUCUUCCUCCUGGUCCCGGGUUUUGUCAGUCCUUUCUAUCCCAUCAAUCUAGCGCAUUAACCUGGUAAUCUUAUGUCCAAGGCCCUUAAGUCCCUUCCAUGUCCCAUCCACUGUUCUUCUUCAUAUUUAUACCUGUACUUUACUUUGUCUCCUGCUCCUUUCACUUGUGGGAACUCCAACUUAACAGUGUUUUUGACCCUUCUCGACAAAUCAGCCCCUUUUCCAUAGUCCACACUAAACUCCAUGUGGUAUUUAAAAACAUGUUUCAAAGUCCCUCCAAAAUUAAGAGCCCCCACAACCCCAAACAUCUCACAGCCCAUUGCCAGACUUGAAAAGUCCAAACAUCCCUGAAAUGGGGGGUCUAUCCAACCCCCCAUUUCCAAACCAAACCAAACUUUAUCUUUCCAAAUCUGGCUUUUUCCAAGUUCAUUUGUCAAAUCCAAAAACUCAUGUUCCUGCUGGGCCACAGCUCCCUCCAUCUCUGGUGCCCAAGGUUCAGCAGCAUCCUCUUCCCUCAUCCGUUUUGUCAGAGCACACUCCUGAUUUGAUUCCUGGGUGGGCUCCAUAUAGUUUCCCACUACCUGUCCAAAAUUUCUGAUCGCAACAGUCAUCAAGUCCGUCUUCUCAUGUAGCUGUUCCAGUAGGGCACUUGUUUUACAGAAAGCACGCAGCAGAGCUUCUGAGUACAUUGUUCUGCAAGGUCAGACGUCUAUUCCCACGAUCGUAAUCUAUUGCAGCUGCAAGCUCCCUGGUUCAGAAUUGGUAACAGUUUCACAGGCUCCUCUAGGGAAGAGCUUCUAUUUGUUCUUUUCUUUUAAAGGCAGAUCUAACAACAAAGUUUCCUUUUUCAGAUAUUUUGUCAAUAUUUGUUCCUUUAAAAUGCGAAGGGGAACAAUGGAAUCACUAUGUUUCUCUUCUUUUAACUAUCUGUCAAAGACGCUUGUCUCUGGUCAGUGAGCUUCCCAAAGAACAUCAGUCCUGACACCCCGCUCCAGGAUCAAGACGGUGGAAAGUUACUUUGCAUUACACUCUCUUCUGCAGGUUUAAACAGUCCGGAAAAAAUCCCCCCUCUUCUCCUGCUUCUGAAGGGGGUUCAACAAUUUUAAAUGAUGAAAGUUAAUCCUUUACAAGCGAUUUUCUGAACUCUAGUUUGCCAUGUCUUUGCUUUAAUCUAUCUACAAGAAACGGAAGGCUGACUUCCUGUUUAGACCUUCCCGUUUCAUGCCAAAUUGAGGUAAAUUUCUUAGUCCAAUUUUCCUUUCUGCUCGCAAAUCAUUAUUUGAAGUCCAAUUGUCUGAAAUUUAAGUACUCACGGGUAGUUGUUUUAAAAGCCAAAUUGUCCCAGGAAAAAGGCAGCGCUCUCCGGCAAUGGCUGUGCGGCUUUGCUCCACGGAAGAAGCAGUUGACUCUCAGCACCGCGCCACUUCCCCCUCAUCACUCCGGAGCCCGUUAGUGGGUUCCUUUGCGGGUUGGGGGGGUGCUAAAGGUGCCUGCCGAGUCCCAUGGUCACAGGCUUCAUCCGCCUGUGAUUUUUGAAAGGGUCCCCGCUUCGCCGUAGCUGGAAAGACCCAUUUCCCGUGGAGCUGGUCCCUCCAGAUCAGAGGGAGUCCGCCAUUGCCGAUGGCGCCACCCCGGAAGUCUAAGGUUGACCAAGACUAGACUAUUGAUUAUUUUUUUUCUGAUUUCAGGUGCACUAUUAUUUAGAUAUAAUCUGGAUGUCUGCAGGGGGGCAAGAAAAAAUGCUCCCGUACCUUCGUAUGGUAUUAAUGGCUGCUGGCUUAAUCGCAAUCUUGAUCACGGUAAGCCUUUUCCACUUCUUUGUCUCUUUCCUUUUGAAUCUUAAAACUCACUGUUCUUCAAAGGAAAUAAAUUUAAGUUUCACAGUCUUCCCCCCCCCGUCCACAACAGCCCCAUGAAAAAUAAACAUUUUUUUAAUUAUAGUAUUAUGAGCGUUCUCUGAGCAUUCUUUGUCAGAGAACCAUAGUUAUUUAUACACAGUACCUGUAUUCUAGUAUGCAUUGGAAGUCAUCCAAAGGGGUGAAAAAUCAGCUUGAACAUUUUUUGUUUGCUUGUUUGUCUGUUUUUGCAUCAAAAAUAAUUUUGCUUAUUUGUUUCUUUCAUUUUGGAGGAUACAUUCCUAUUCACUAAGUGAAACACUUGUUUUCAUUCCAUUAGUGAAUAUAUGUGGAGGGGUAAUAAGAUAAAAAGUAUCCAGACAAUUGAAUUUCAAAUCUAGACUAACUGUAAGGAGAAGCCCCUACCUCAGAAGAACCAAAGUUCUCAAAAUUCCCUUAAGAAGUCCAGCUAAAUUUAAAUUAUCUAUGGUAAAGAAAUACCCUAUAAGCUGCAAUUCUAUACAACAGGGGAAACCAAUCUGUUGUUCUUCAGAUACUGCGACUUUUUGAACAACUGAACCUUAUUACUUAAUUUAUUUAUUACUGACUUACUGAGCUUUCUCUACACCUUUUCCUCAUCCUGCUGGCUGGAGCUGAUGGGAGUCCUUAAGAUUUAGAGAGUACCAUGUUGGCUAAAUGUGCAAACUCAAAGGCACACCAUGCUUCAAUAGCUGUUGUUUAUAUGUGGAUUCCUCCAUAAUGAAGGGUAUCUUCAUUCAGAUAUGACCGAGAACUAUCAUUCCUUAGGGACACGUAUUUUUAGUAGUUGCUGGUCUCAUCAGUCUACCUCACACAUGGCAGGAACACAGUUUGAAAUCAUUUACUACCACUACAAACUACAAAUGAUAAACAACAUUAUACAGCAUUACUUCAGCAUGAAAACACAACUAUCCUGUGUUAGAUGCCCACAGAAAACUUUUUAUUAUUGUUUCAGAAAGUCUGCUUUAUUUGAAAAUUUUGCUGAUUUUAUCUGUGCUCUGUUGAUCAUUAUUUUAUAUUUUUAAUGUACAGCAUUUAGAUAUUUAAAUUUUGAUUAAGAAUAAUAAUGUAAAUUAAAUUAAAUUAAAUACUACAAUAAUUUCACUUGUGCACUUGAUGAGAAUUGCUCAUAAAAAAUGUUCUCCAAGGCAGGAUUGUCCUGAGAAGUGUAGGAAUAAAAUACAACUGGUCCUUUUAAGUAUUUGGAGUUUUCCUCUGUUCCUUUUGUCUACUAUAGUUUUGCCCCUCGGUCCUGGUUUUGUGAUCAGUUUCUACCAGAGUCCAACCCACGCAGCAUAACACCACUGGCUUUUAAAAUUUUAUUAGCAUUUUUAUCCCACCCUUCUUCCAAGGAGCAUGGGGCAUUCUCAUUUUAUACUCCAAAGAAUCAAGUCUAACACUACUUACUACACACCUCAUCUGCUCUCAUAAUAGGAACAUUGAAAGAUUCUUGUUGGAGACUCUAGAUGAGAAAAAGGCCCAUCUAGUCCAGAAUCCUGUUCUCAGAGGGUGUGAGGUUAUGUUGAAAAAUAUCCCCCAAAUGCAUAAUUAGGUUACACAGUGGUACGUCCGGUUACAGACGCUUCAGGUAACAGACGUGUCAGGUUACAGACUCCGCUAACCCAGAAAUAGUACCUCGGGUUAAGAACUUUGCUUCAGGAUGAGAACAGAAAUUGCACGGCGGCAGUGGGAGGCCCCAUUAGCUAAAGAGGUACCUCAGGUUAAGAACGGACCUCCAGAACGAAUUAAGUUCUUAACCAGAGGUACCACUGUACAGCAUUAGCUUGCUUACACUGACACUAUCAAUGAACUCUUAAAAGGUUAGUUAGUCAGGACUUGCCUUUUGAGAAGCCACACUGAUAUAUUCAUCCAUAUGCUUCCUAAUAUUAGCUUUAAUAAUGCUUUCUACCAGUUUUACAGGAACCAAUAUAAGCUAACUUAUGUUGCAUUGUACUUUCCUGUAUCUCCUUUCCUCCUCUUUAUAUUCUGUAGAUGUGUAUUGCUGAUUCUAAGGGAUAUAGGUAUCUGCUUCUGAUUGGCUUUGCGAUGUGCAGCAUCGUCUGUGUUCUGUUAACCAUGGCCAUGGAAAUGCAGGUUUGUAAUUGAGAGUUGAGAAUCACCAAAUGGGCUGUCAUUUAGCCCCGUUCUCGCUCCCCCUAUAAUCCAUGCUAUGUAAUAGCAAUAAAGUUAAUGUGGAAGUUGGCUGUAUAUGCUGAUGGGUACAUCUGUAGAAGGAGAACUGAGCGAAAAGUUACUUCGGUUUAUACAAUUCAUUUGGAUUUUGUGCAAAGGCUUGAAGGGAAUGGCUGAGAAUGGACAUAGUCUCCCAUCUGCGAAAGUCAUAUGGAUGUUGCAAGAGAACUCAGAGAGAUGGAGAUCUUGGUGUGCUGCCUCACCUGCUGUUUUCAAUUGGCCAGCAAUUCUAUCCAAAGUGGUUGCUGUCCUAUUGAUGUUAGAGUCCAACUCCCAUCAGGCCUAACUAACAUGGAAAGUGGUGAGGGAUGAUGUGAACUGUAGUCUAGCAACAUUGACUACCCCGGCACUAGAUAAGGGGCACCUGUUAAUAUCACAUGUACAUAACUGAAAUGCAACCUACUUUCUCUAACAGGACACCAUUGACGAGAUGGCGUAUGUCAGCCUAUUUUUAGUCCACGUAUUUGUCAUAGCACACUCCGUUGGGCCAGGUAAUUGCUCACAUUGUGUACUGAUCUCCUUAAGUGAUAUGCAAGAUAUUAAUUGGAUAGAGGAAUAUUUGAGUUCUAUGGUGAAACGCUGAUCCAUGUCAUGAACCCUUUCUUUCCACCAAGGUCCACUUCCAAAUGUAAUUGUGGUGGCACUGUUCCUUCAGUCGUCACGGGCCUCAGCCUUUGUGAUUGCAGGAUUUGUGCAGUGGUUCACACACUUACUUAUGAUGAUGGUGUUCCUUCAGAUUGUGGUGAGUGAUAUUGAUAGUCAGCUUGAUGCAGGGAGCAAGGUUUGCGUCAGUGAGCUACAUUCAUCUCUGUUCCUCACCCUUAUCCACCCACCCAGCCCUCGGGUAAAACCCAAGAUAUGAAGCCAUAACCUCAAAUGGAUGGAUUUGUCAGCAUUCUUGUCUUGUGCUUUGUUCAAUGUGAAUGUUAAGGCAUCUUGAAGAUGUGCAUAUUUCCUAAUAAGGUUCAAACAAUCUGAACAAUAUUCAAAUGCCCAGUUGGCCAUGAAAACCACUGCUUAGCCUUGAGCAAAUUGCUCUUGCUUUCAGGAAAGGAGCCAUAGUUUUGUGUGCAGAAAGUCCCAGACCUGAUCUCUGGUAUCUCCUGGAAAAGACUUCUGUCUAAGGACCUGCUGCCAGGCAGUGUACUGAACUGGUUGGACAAGUUGUCUGACUCCGUACAAAGCAGUUUCAUGUGUUCAUCUUUGUCUGCUACCAGGUGGUCUGGGCCUUAACCAGGAACUGCUUUAGCCAAAGGGUCAGAGCUACUGUAGACUGUAUGUGCUCAAGCCCACUACAGAUAUGGAAGGGAAUAAGGAGUAUGUAACUUCAGCUUCUGUCAGUGGCAUAGCGUGGGUUGCUGGUGCCCAGGACGGGGCAAGUGUUGCAACUCCCUGAACUGGGCAUUGGUCAGUCUCUUUGCUGGCCAGUAUCUAAUCAAGGGAUCUAAUCAAUCUCUCCUUGCAAAGUAGUCCCAACUUGGGAGUAGAGAUAAGGCAGAGAAAUGCAAAGCCAAGAGCACCACUGUGUUGCCUUGCCCUCCUGUCCUUGGAAAAAGGUGUUCUGGGCAACAAACAUGGCUCCAUAAUUGCUUUCCCCCCUUCCUCUUCCUCCCUCCCUCCUUGGUGGGCUCACUAAAACCGCCCUUCCCCUCUCCUUCUCAGUCAGCCCAGGGGUGGGGCAUGUGGGGGUAUCCCUUCACCAGCCGUGAGGAGAAGAAGACGCUGCUGUCACCGUGCCCCAUAACCCCAGCCUGGGUGUGGCUUGCCUCCCCGCAGCUCCAGCCUCGAGGUGGGAGCCUUUUGUGGCAGCACCUGGUUGCUCUCCUUCAGAAAUUUGUGCCCAGGACCAUGCCCCCCUGCCCCCCACACUAUGCCACUGGCUGCUGGGAUUGGUAGAAUGUGUGAAGCCUCUGAGUUUACUGCUCUACAUAAGAAAUCUUCCAGCCUACUACAUACAUCUCAAUCCUCUGCUUCCAGUGGUUGAGUGGGUUGCAGGAUAUCAUCAAUCCUUGUGCUUGUGUACCCUAAGCUCAAAAGAACAGCUGCUGUUGGAGGAAGUAGCAAUAUACAGUCAUCACUUGGUUUCCCCACUCUCUAGCAGUAGUGAGACAAGCAAGCUGACCGCUGCUGCUACGACCCAUCUUACCUGUAGAAGGGCUCUUUUUGUAGAGCAUGAAGAAGUAGCCAGCAGUUCACCACUGAAAACUCCUCUGGUCAAAGCUAAAGGGUUUGGGGAUGGCUGUUUGUUGAAUCUAGUGGAGGAGAACAUCCUUGAGGAGGUGCUCAAUCUCAGGUAUAGGUGAGAUGAUCACAUUUAACAGUGACACUGAUAGCUCCUCCAAGCAAGACAGGAGCAGCAUUUUGGAUGGUGGCAUGGGCAGGGGCUCGUGGUUCGCCCCUGCAAUAUCCUCCAGCUUAUCCUAUGCCAGAAACUCAGACUGAGGAUAGAGAAUCAGAAGGAGCCUCAAUGCAGUGUCAGCAGAGUACCGUGUAGAACAUGUGGUUCCCAACCUUUUUUUGGCCAUGCCCCACCUAAGCAUCUCUAAAAUCCUGAUGCUCCCCCCCCCGACACAUUACUCUUAUUAUUCUAAAAGUGAACGCAUAUUCACGUGUUAAAAUAGUUAAUAACUAUUCACUGUUAAUAAUUCAUUCUAAAAUUGCCCCCCCUAAAAUUCAAAUUGCCUCCCUGUCGGGUGUGUGCCCCACGAUGGGAACUACGAGUCUAGAAGCACUUUGAGCUCCUGGGUGGGGGGAGGAUCCCAGAAUGAUAUGUGUGUGAAAUAUGGAUGAAUACAAUUCUCUAUUAUGCUCAAGUCUGUCCUUUUCAUUUCCAGGUAAAAAUUGGGACCUACAGCUUCCUUAUGUUCUUCCCUUUCUGUGGAGGCCUGUUUUUUUAUCUCUUCAAGAAUUUCCCAGAAACCAAGAAUAGGACCUUUGUGGAUAUUAGAAGAAUAGUAGCAGUCCAGAAGCUUAGGAAGUCCAACCUUAUGAAACUGACAGAAAAGUAGAAACUUGUGAAGCAACCCAUGCAGUUUAUUUAUUAAAUUGUGUUUAAUAAUGA